rnacentral:piRNA from 1 species
UAUGAAGAGUUCUUUACUGAAGGAUACACC